rnacentral:rRNA from 1 species
GACGAACGCUGGCGGCGUGCUUAACACAUGCAAGUCGAACGAUGAAGCCGGAGCUUGCUCUGGUGAAUUAGUGGCGAACGGGUGAGUAACACGUGAGUAACCUGCCCUUGACUCUGGGAUAACUGCUAGUAAUGGUAGCUAAUACCGGAUACGACCCUCGGAGGCAUCUCCAGGGGGAUGGAAAGAAUUUCGGUCAAGGAUGGACUCGCGGCCUAUCAGCUAGUUGGUGAGGUAACGGCUCACCAAGGCGACGACGGGUAGCCGGCCUGAGAGGGGGACCGGCCACACUGGGACUGAGACACGGCCCAGACUCCUACGGGAGGCAGCAGUGGGGAAUAUUGCACAAUGGGCGCAAGCCUGAUGCAGCAACGCCGCGUGAGGGAUGACGGCCUUCGGGUUGUAAACCUCUUUUAGUAGGGAAGAAGCGAAAGUGACGGUACCUGCAGAAAAAGCACCGGCUAACUACGUGCCAGCCGCCGCGGUAA